UGUAGCUCAGUGGUAGAUCAUGUGCUUAACAUGCAUAAGGUCCUGGGUUCAAUCCCCAGCA
rnacentral:tRNA from 1 species